GGCCAUUGUUAGCGGUUCUCACUCUUAGCGUCGCGUUCCUUAUUUUUUCGGGAAACGUGAAAGCAGUCAAAAACUGGCAACGAACCAAACAUGGCGCAGUAUUCGUUUCCGUAAAGGCGUGAGGUGGCGAUUCGUCGAUGUCCAUCAAUACCGCGGCAGGAAACGAAUGAUUAGCCGAAAAUGAAAACAAUCGAAUCAAGGGUGAUCAUUGCUUUAUGGAUCCUUGGCCUCGGGACGUCGCAAAUACUGGUCGAAGCAAGACGUGGGCAGGAAGCCAUGCUCACCCCAUACCAUAAGGCAACUAAAUUUUCCAAAACAAGUAAAAGCUCCCAUUCCUCAAAUGUAUGCAAAACAAAAGCUUGCGAACACAGGGCCAAAUACAUCACGGCUUCUCUAAACAAGGACUAUAAACCAUGCGAUAGUUUCUACGACCACGUUUGCAGCAACUGGAUGUUCUACCACCCUAUUCCUGAUGACAAGAGCAGCGCCAGUGUAUUGGAAGGACUCGACGAUAAGUUGACCGAAGAUCUCAAAGGCA